rnacentral:rRNA from 1 species
UACGUAGGGGGCAAGCGUUGUCCGGAAUCAUUGGGCGUAAAGCGCGUGUAGGCGGCCAGAAAAGUCCGCUGUGAAAACUCGAGGCUCAACUUCGAGCUGUCGGUGGAAACUUUCUGGCUAGAGUCCGGAAGAGGAGAAUGGAAUUCCUGGUGUAGCGGUGAAAUGCGCAGAUAUCAGGAAGAACACCCGUGGCGAAGGCGGUUCUCUGGGACGUUACUGACGCUGAGACGCGAAAGCGUGGGGAGCGAACAGG